GUCUACAAGCAUUAUCGUCUCUGACAUCCCAUAAAAUUGGAAUGAUGCAAAGAAGAUUAGCAUAGCCCACGCCCAAGAAUGACAAGUACAAAUAUAAAAUUGGUUCAAAAUUCUU
rfam:Citrus sinensis cultivar Ridge Pineapple sweet orange scaffold01561_contig_7, whole genome shotgun sequence.